rnacentral:rRNA from 1 species
GAUGAACGCUAGCGGCAGGCCUAAUACAUGCAAGUCGAACGGUUGUAGUGAUACAAUAGUGGCGCACGGGUGCGUAACACGUAUGCAACCUACCUUAUAGACGGGGAUAGCCUUUGGAAACGGAGAUUAAUACCCGAUAGUAACCUUGAUUGGCAUCAAUUAAUGUUUAAAGAUUUAUCGCUAUAAGCUGGGCAUGCGUCCAAUUAGUUAGUUGGUUAGGUAAUGGCUGACCAAGACGAUGAUUGGUAGGGGAACUGAGAGGUUAAUCCCCCACACUGGCACUGAGAUACGGGCCAGACUCCUACGGGAGGCAGCAGUAGGGAAUAUCGGGCAAUGGAGGCAACUCUGACCCAGCCAUGCCGCGUGCAGGAUGAAGGCGUUAUGCGUUGUAAACUGCUUUUAUAUAGGAAGAAAUAGACCUUGCGAGGUAAGUUGACGGUACUAUAUGAAUAAGCACCGGCUAACUCCGUGCCAGCAGCCGCGGUAAUACGGAGGGUGCAAGCGUUGUCCGGAUUUUAUUGGGUUUAAAGGGUGCGUAGGCGGCUUAUUAAAGUCAGUGGUGAAAGACGGUCGCUCAACCAUUGCAGUGCCAUUGAUACUGGUAGACUUGAGUGAGAUUGAGGUAGCUGGGAUGGAUAGUGUAGCGGUGAAAUGCAUAGAUAUUAUCCAGAACACCAAUUGCGUAGGCAAGUUACUAAGUCUCACCUGACGCUGAGGCACGAAAGUGUUGGGUAUCAAACAGGAUUAGAUACCCUGGCUAGUCCACACUGUAACGAUGAUAACUACUGUUGCCUUUCGGGUCAGUG